rnacentral:rRNA from 1 species
AACGAACGCUGGCGGCAUGCCUAACACAUGCAAGUCGAACGCGUGUAGCAAUACACGAGUGGCGGACGGGUGAGUAACGCGUGGGAACCUGCCCAAUGGUAGGGAAUAACUGCGGGAAACUGCAGCUAAUACCCUAUGCUCCCUACGGGGGAAAGAUUUAUCGCCAUUGGAGGGGCCCGCGUCGGAUUAGCUAGUUGGCGGGGUAACGGCCCACCAAGGCUACGAUCCGUAGCUGGUCUGAGAGGAUGAUCAGCCACACUGGGACUGAGAUACGGCCCAGACUCCUACGGGAGGCAGCAGUGGGGAAUAUUGGACAAUGGGGGAAACCCUGAUCCAGCAAUGCCGCGUGAGUGAAG